rnacentral:rRNA from 1 species
UGGGGAAUAUUGCACAAUGGGCGGAAGCCUGAUGCAGCGACGCCGCGUGAGGGAUGACGGCCUUCGGGUUGUAAACCGCUUUCAGCAGGGACGAGGCCGCAAGGUGACGGUACCUGCAGAAGAAGCCCCGGCUAACUACGUGCCAGCAGCCGCGGUAAUACGUAGGGGGCAAGCGUUAUCCGGAUUCAUUGGGCGUAAAGCGCGCGUAGGCGGUUUGUUAGGUCAGGAGUUAAAUCUGGGGGCUCAACCCCUAUCCGCUCCUGAUACCGGCAGGCUUGAGUCUGGUAGGGGAAGGCGGAAUUCCAAGUGUAGCGGUGAAAUGCGCAGAUAUUUGGAAGAACACCGGUGGCGAAGGCGGCCUUCUGGGCCACGACUGACGCUGAGGCGCGAAAGCUAGGGGAGCGAACAGG